rnacentral:rRNA from 1 species
AGCGAACGCUGGCGGCAGGCUUAACACAUGCAAGUCGAGCGGGCACUUCGGUGUCAGCGGCAGACGGGUGAGUAACACGUGGGAACGUACCCUUUGGUUCGGAAUAACGCUGGGAAACUAGCGCUAAUACCGGAUACGCCCUUUUGGGGAAAGGCUUGCUGCCGAAGGAUCGGCCCGCGUCUGAUUAGCUAGUUGGUGGGGUAAUGGCCUACCAAGGCGACGAUCAGUAGCUGGUCUGAGAGGAUGAUCAGCCACACUGGGACUGAGACACGGCCCAGACUCCUACGGGAGGCAGCAGUGGGGAAUAGUGGACAAUGGGCGCAAGCCUGAUCCAGCCAUGCCGCGUGAGUGAUGAAGGCCUUAGGGUUGUAAAGCUCUUUUGUCCGGGACGAUAAUGACGGUACCGGAAGAAUAAGCCCCGGCUAACUUCGUG